GACGAACGCUGGCGGCGUGCUUAACACAUGCAAGUCGAACGGAAAGGCCCUGCUUGCCGGGUACUCGAGUGGCGAACGGGUGAGUAACACGUGGGUGAUCUGCCCUGCACUUCGGGAUAAGCCUGGGAAACUGGGUCUAAUACCGGAUAGGAGCCAUUUUUAGUGUGAUGGUUGGAAAGUUUUUUCGGUGUAGGAUGAGCUCGCUGCCUAUCAGCUUGUUGGUGGGGUAAUGGCCUACCAAGGCGGCGACGGGUAGCCGGCCUGAGAGGGUGGACGGCCACAGUGGGACUGAGAUACGGCCCAGACGCCGACGGGAGGCAGCAGUGGGGAAGAUUGCACAAUGGGCGCAAGCCGGAUGCAGAGAAGCCGCGGGGGGGAUGACGGACUUAGGGUUGUAAAAGACAUUCGCUAGGGACGAAGCUUUUUGUGACGGUACCUAGAUAAGAAGCACCGGCUAACUACGUG
rnacentral:rRNA from 1 species